UACGUAGGCAGCGAGCGUUGUUCGGAAUUACUGGGCGUAAAGAGUGUGUAGGCGGUGUUCCAAGUUCGGUGUGAAAUCUCCCGGCUUAACUGGGAGGUGCGCCGAAAACUGGAAUGCUCGAGCGUGGGAGAGGAAAGCGGAAGUCCUGGUGUAGCGGUGAAAUGCGUAGAGAUUGGGAAGAACAUCGGUGGCGAAGGCGCUCUGCUGGACCAUAACUGACACUCACAGGACGAAAGCUAGGGGAGCGAAUGGGAUUAGGAAACCCCGUGAU
rnacentral:rRNA from 1 species